UUCUUCGAUUAAACCAACAGAAGAAAUAUACUACCACAGUCUCCUCCUCUGGCUUAAACCCGCCGCCGCAACCAUUACCACCAUCACCACAUCUACGACACCACAAUCACCAUCGCCACCGUCUAUAAUCAUUAUCAAUAGUUUUAGCAUCAUCAUCAUCAUCAUCAUCUUCUUCUUCUUGUUAUUCUCGGUUUGUCACUGAUUUACAAUAUGAGAUUCAGUUUUAGGAGAUCGGGAGAUCUGAUUUUAGGUUUCAUUUUCAGGUAAUUUCGAUCCAUCGUGAUAAAAAUUGAGAUUUAAUCUCUGUUCGGUUCUAAAGUGGUGGUGGAGAUCGAGAUUUAGGUUUUCGAUUUUAAUCAGAUCUGGAAAUCAAACUUCAUAAGCAUCUGGAAAUCAAACUUCAUAAGCAUAAUCAGAUUCAGGAGCUCUUAUUCUUCUCGUUUUAACUGUAAUUUCUACAUCAAUUGAAGAUUCAAAAGGUUGAGAUUGAAUUUUAGUUGGAAAUCAAGUAUAUGGGUUCGCUGUAAGAGGUCGAAAAUAUGGGUUCGUAUGGAAUUAGAGAAGAAGAUUAUGAAGAAAUCAGUCGAAAUAAAGUUUAUGUGUGAAUCUGGUGCUGCAGUUGUGUGACAAGAUGCAAAAUGGUUGUGAUUGGUGGUCAGUUUACUGGGAUAGUAUCUGAGUCUGAAGAUUCGGAUGGUGUUGAUUUGAGGUUAUUGAAGGUGGAUAGUGAUGUCGGAUAUGAUGUGCAGGCUUGUGUGUUGAAACUGGAAAUUGCAGCUGGACUGUGGAGUGAUGUUGGAGCUGGUGCAGCUAUGCAGUGUUUGCAGUUGAGGUGAAACUGGGGAAAUAAUGGUUACGAAUUUGUUACGAUGGAGAUCGUGGAAGUGGUGGCUGUUACGGUGGAGGAAGAGGUGGUCAACAGGUUUUACUAAACAAUGGGUGGUACCCUUGCAAAUGUGUGUGGUGGGUUUGCUGCUCCUGGCAAGAACACUAGACUAGUGAAUCUGGUAAUGGUGUUUGCUGGUCGAAGAGUCGUAUGUUUGCAGUAUGUUGCUCUAAGGGAUAUGAUACAAGGGGCAUGGAAGUGACUGCAGCUAUUGGCUCAUGUUGUAAGUGUGCAUAGAUGGUUGUGGUCAUGAAGUUGUUGCAGGUAGAGUUGCAGUAGCAGAGAUGGAGGAUAUGGUGUUGUCCGGUGGUGGUUUGAAUUGUUGGUCGAGCACUUAUGGUGUGCGAAUAUGUGAGUCUGUUUACUGGGUUUGCAAUUGAAAAUCUGCUAAUGCAGUAAAGAGAUAUGGAGCCAGAGAUGCUGCUAUGUGAUUUUGAUAUGUUGUUUUAAAUCUGCUAAUGCAGUAAAGAGAUAUGGAGCCAGAGAUGCUGCUAUGUGAUUUUGAUAUGUUGUUUUUGUAUAAAUGAAUCUGUGGUGCAAUGGUAGCACAACUGACUAUAUGUCAGAAAAUGUGUGUUCGACUCACACUAGGUUCACUCAUUUGUGUAUAUGUUUUAAUUUUUGGAGACAAUUUGUGAUAGUUGCCUCCAUAUUUUGGAGACAACUUGGGCUAGUUGCGUUCAUUUUUGAAGACAACUUGAGCUAGUUUCCUCAGAUUCAGAGACAA